rnacentral:rRNA from 1 species
AGAGGGUGCGAGCGUUGUCCGGAAUCACUGGGCGUAAAGGGCGCGUAGGCGGCUUGAUAAGUAGGGGGUGAAAUCUUGCGGCUCAACUGCAAGGCUGCCUCCUAAACUGACAGGCUUGAGCACAGUAGAGGCAGGUGGAAUUCCCGGUGUAGCGGUGGAAUGCGUAGAGAUCGGGAAGAACAUCGGUGGCGAAGGCGGCCUGCUGGGCUGUUGCUGACGCUGAGGCGCGACAGCGUGGGGAGCAAACAGGAUUAGAUACCCUGGUAGUCCACGCCGUAAACGAUGGGUACUAGGCGUCGGGGGGAGCGACCCCUUCGGUGCCGUCGCUAACGCAGUAAGUACCCCGCCUGGGGAGUACGGCCGCAAGGCUG